UAACGGGGUGUAGAAGGGGGGAGAGGGUGUGAGAGGGUGUGAGAAGGGUGUGAGAGGGGGUAUGUGUGAUGGGGAGGUCAGGACAGAAGGGAGAGACAGGGUAUUGAAAGAAAGGAUGGGACCAGUUUGGGGACUUAUAUUUUCAGAUGGGGUGAGAAAAGGGGUGAUUAACGGGGUGUAGAAGGGGGGAGAGGGUGUAAGAAGGGUGUGAGAGGGUGUAUGUGUGAUGGGAAGGUCAGGAAAAAGUGCCCACAACUCCCAAGAAAGCCUUGUCGAAUGUGUGUUUUUAGGUUCACGGUACAGAGGAAGGGUCACACUACCACCAGGGUCAUGAAACUACCCCUGGAAAUGCCCACAACUCCUACGAAAGCCUUGUCAAAUGUGUGUUUUUAGGUUCACGGUACAGAGGAAGGGUCACACUACCACCAGGGUCAUGAAACUAUCCCUGGAAAUGCCCACAACUCCUACGAAAGCCUUGUCAAAUGUGUGUUUUUAGGUUCACGGUACAGAGGAAGCGUCACACUACCACCAGGGUCAUAAAACUACCCCUGGAAAUGCCCACAACUCCUACGAAAGCCUUGUCAAAUGUGUGUUUUUAGGUUCACGGUACAGAGGAAGGGUCACACUACCACCAGGGUCAUUAAACUACCCCUGGAAAUGCCCACAACUCCUACGAAAGCCUUGUCAAAUGUGUGUUUUUAGGUUCACGGUACAGAGGAAGGGUCACACUACCACCAGGGUCAUGAAACUACCCCUGGAAAUGCCCACAACUCCUACGAAAGCCUUGUCGAAUGUGUGUUUUUAGGUUCACGGUACAGAGGAAGGGUCACACUACCACCAGGGUCAUGAAACUAUCCCUGGAAAUGCCCACAACUCCUACGAAAGCCUCGUCGAAUGUGUUUUUAGGUUCAUGGUACAGAAGAAGGGUCACACUACCACCAGGGUCAUGAAUCUACCGCUGGAAAUGCCCACAACUUCUAGGAAAGCCUUGUCAAAUGUGUGUUUUUGAGGUUAACGGUACAGAGGAAAGGUCACACUACCACCAGGGUCAUAAAACUACCCCUGGAAAUGCCCACAACUCCUACGAAAGCCUUGUCAAAUUUGUGUUUUGAGGCUAACGGUACAGAGGAAAGGUCAUACUACCAUCAAGGUCAUCAAACAGCUCCUGGAAAUGCUCACAACUCCUACGAAAGCCUCGUCGAAUGUGUUUUUAGGUUCAUGGUACAGAGGAAGCGUCACACUACCACCAGGGUCAUGAAACUACCGCUGGAAAUGCGCACAACUCCUACGAAAGCCUUGUCAAAUGUGUGUUUUUGAGGUUAACGGUACAGAGGAAGCGUCACACUACCACCAGGGUCAUAAAACUAUCCCUGGAAAUGCCCACAACUUCUACGAAAGCCUUGUCAAAUGUGUGUUUCUUUAGGUUCACGGUACAGAGGAAGCGUCACACUACCACCAGGGUCAUAAAACUACCCCUGGAAAUGCCCACAACUCCAAGGAAAGCCUUGUCGAAUGUCUGUUUUUAGGUUCAUGGUACAGAGGAAGGGUCACACUACCACCAGGGUCAUAAAACUACCCCUGGAAAUGCCCACAACUCCUAGGAAAGCCUUGUCAAAUGUGUGUUUUUGAGGUUAACGGUACAGAGGAAAGGUCACACUACCACCAGGGUCAUAAAACAGCUCCUGGAAAUGCCUUGUCGAAUGCAUAUUUUUUGGAAAAGAAAAAUUAAAGGAAAAAUAAUAAUAAUAAUAAUAAUGAUAUUUUGAAAGUUUGAAGACAGG